AUGGUGGAUGACUGUCUUCCUGUGCAUUGUGCACCUCCCAUCAGCUCUCAGAUCAUAAGGGGCCCUUCCAAGUAUGUGCCCUCCCUGGGCUGCCGGGUCCCCCGUGCGCUCUCUCCGCAGGAAGGAUGGUGUCUCACCUGCACGGCAAUGGGAACACCUGUGGUUUGGUCCCGGUGUCCCGGCGUCCUGGAAGGGGUCUACCAUGCUCUCCAUAAGCUACCCAUGGGCUGGGGCUUAUGGAACGCCGUCUCCAUAGGGUCUGAAGGAGGGUCUCUGCUCCACCACUCAGGUUACUACGGCAACACCGACUGGGACUACGGCCGCUACCCGCCCAGACCCAAGCCGCCCGCAGCAGGUGGUGGCAGUUACUACCCCAGCCACGACGGGUCCGGAAACACGCACGGCGGAGACGGAUACUCGACCUACGGGAACGCACAGGGUAACACAGUAGCGAAAAUCGUGUCUCCCAUCGUGUCCGUGCUGGUGGUCACGCUGGUGGGAGCGGCGGCUGGUUAUUGCCAACGGAACAGAAGGAGAAACUGUUUCAGGGCAAAUGGCAAGUUUCUGGCUCUAAAAAUACUUCCUGGAGUCUGUCACUGGGCAGGGUUCUUUCUGGGUACGUCCCCUCGAGCAGCCUUGCCUAAGGAAGUGGUUUUAAGUUGGGUCCUCACUGGGGAUGCUGUUCCUUUUUUUUUUCUCUCUCUCCAUAUUUUUAACUAG
rnacentral:lncRNA from 1 species